CACGUAGUUAGCCGGGGCUUCUUAGUCAGGUACUGUCAUCUUCUUCCCUGCUGAUAGGGCUUUACAUACCGAAAUACUUCGUCACCCACGCGGCGUCGCUGCAUCAGGGUUUCCCCCAUUGUGCAAUAUUCCCCACUGCUGCCUCCCGUAGGAGUUUGGGCCGUGUCUCAGUCCCAAUGUGGCCGGUCACCCUCUCAGGUCGGCUACCGAUCGUCGGUUUGGUGGGCCGUUACCCCGCCAACUGCCUAAUCAGACGCGGGGCCAUCUCAUACCACCGGAGUUUUUCACACUCUGUGAUGCCACAGUGUGCGCUUAUGCGGCAUUAGCAGACGUUUCCAUCUGUUAUUCCCCUGUAUGAGGCAGGUUCCCCACGCGUUACUCACCCGUCCGCCGCUCAGUCAUUCCCUCUUCCAUCCGAAAACUUCCGAGAAAGUGCUUCGCUCGACUUGCAUGUGUUAAGCACGCCGCCAGCGUUCAUCCUGAGCCAGGAUCAAACUCU
rnacentral:rRNA from 1 species